CCGCUGGACUGCGUUACACCUUCCCCAGACCCUGUGACCUACCCAUUACUUAAUUUAUAAGCAGAGCCUUUGGGGAAUGGGGCAAUCAAUUCCCUCAUUAGCAGCUGUGGAGUUUCUUCUGCUGCCUUAUGUAAAAGAACUGUCAGUCAAACAGCCAGCUGGCCUGGAUUAUGCCAGCACCAGCCAGCUGGAACACCCCACAGACACCUGGAGAAAACUGACAAUUGUAACUAUUGCGUUAGCUCCUGGAGGCACAGCUUUGAGUUGGCAGUCUCAAGACGGAGGAAGCAACACCGGCCGGUGGUGGCACACACCUUUAAUCCCAGCACUCGGGAGGCUGGUGCGUGCUCUGUGUGGUGUGGGUUGGCCAAAGAGAGAGGUCAUUCCACAGUGAAUUUUUGAGGCCUGUGUGGCAGCAGGGAGGUCCAGCCUCUGACGGACUGAACCUUGAACAGCUGUACAAAGGCAUAUUUAUUGAUUGUUGCACAAAGUUGUCUUUUGGGUAAACAAGUUCCUCAUACCAAAGUCCCUGAUCUAACCCAUAUGUGUUUCUGAAGGAAAGGCAUCACUCCAUGCUACUUUAGUCCUUACUGUGUCUGCAGUACCCAACAAUCCAAGAGCUUCAGGUGGGCCAGCAGUGUCUGGUGACCAAAGUCAUGCAAAGGCUGUAGAGCUGCUUCAGAAAAACAACUCUGUCAAUCAACAGAAAACAAUCACUGAUUUCCACUGAGAUUUAUUUAAGGUACUUACAGAAAACAACUGUUCUAAUGAUUACCCUGUAUACAGUGACUCUGUUAGAUUCCUACAAGAACAGGCAGAGACAGGCAGAUCUCUGUGAAUUCAAGGCCGGCCCAGUCUACAAAGAAAGCUCCAGGACAACCAGGGCUACACAGAGAAACCCUGUCUUGAAAAACAAACAAACAAACAAACAAACAAACAAACAAACGAUGGAGGAAGCAGCAGAGACAUCAGUGAAGAUGGUGGGUGACUCAAGAGACAUCGGAGGUGCUGGGGAUUUAGCUCAGUGGUAGAGCACUUGCCUAGCAAGCGCAAGGCCCUGGGUUCGGUCCUCAGCUCAAAAAAAAAGACAUCUGAGUGGUCGGCAGGAGCACCAGUGAAUGGGUCCAGGCAGCCAACGAUCAGCCAGCACAGGAUGAAGGGCAGUGCAUGUGGAAUGUGGAGAGACAGCAAGAGCGAGCAAAGAGCUGAGACUGCAGGAGCCGGAGAAGAAAGACUGCAGGCCCUGGUCACAGGGAUGUCAAGUCUUCAGGGCCUUAGGGUCUGUAAUCAGCCUUGCCCCUUAGCUCCAGUCACUGCCAUCUUUCUGCUAGGCCACAAGGAAAAGUGUCCCUCCUCUGGCCAAGGUGGACAUAGUUGUAGGGUCACCUCAAGUUCACUAAGACUUCUGAAAACAAAAAGUUCAGUGCAAACUGUUGAAACAGCCUUGGAUGAUGCUGUGCCUUCCAGAGCCCAGGUGAUCAUUUGUGGUCAUCAGCUUUCUCAUGGUGUCUGUAGAGUGUUCCAGAUGACUGAUACUGGCAUAAGGACAGCCAUUUGAUUGACAGCCUUUUUCUUCAAAGUAGCUAGGCAGUAAGAAAGAGUCUAAGGCAGCUGUAAGUUGGGGAGUCAUGUUGGAUCAUCCUGAACAUCUUUUCUUACUUUCAGAAACACAAAUACCAGGAAUGCUUUCUGUUAUCAAGGACUGGGGCUCAAGGGUUCAGAGCACUGGCUGCUCUUCCAGAGGUCCCGAGUUCAAUUCCCAGCAACCACAUGGUGGCUCACAGCCAUCUAUAGUGGGAUCUGAUGCUCUCUUCUGGCAUGCAGGUGUACAUGCAGAGCACUCAUACAUAAAAUAUAAAUAAAUAUGAUUUGAAAAAACACCAAAAAACCUAAAGGGCUUACUAACAGCAACAGUGAUUUUAACAGAUGUUGACUUGCUUCCCCAGAGCCCAACACCUGCCUAAUGCCCCAAGAAGAGAUUCUCUUCUCUUUAUAACCCAAGAGGGUUUCUCUCAUUUGUCUUGCUUCCAACUGGUACCCAUUAAGUGUCCUAAUGAUCACCCCCACUCCCCAGCAGAACACCAGACUGGCUCUACCUUGUUCAAAAGCCAUAUUGAAACUCCAAGGACCUUAAACUCAUUAUGAUAAUAGCACACCCAUUGGUGCCAGGACAGAAUAAAUAGACCCAGGAAUGAAUAAAUUAUGGGUAAAAAGAAGUGGUACCCUGAUUCUUGGAAACUUUCUCCAUGAAAAGCUCUGAUAAUGUAGAACAAUGGUAGAGUUUUUGUCUAGUAUGCUGGAGAUCCUGAGUUCAAUCCCUAGUAGUGCAUCCUCUCCCCAUAAUAAAAUUACAGAAAAGAAAGAUCUGAGGAGUGCUUGUAUACAUCACCCCUUGUAACUCAGUCCUAAUAAAAUCUAACACCCUAGUCCUGCUCAGGGAGAAGUUGCCACCAUACUCUCUCUGGUCAUCAAAUAAACUGGCUGCUCCAGAA